rnacentral:rRNA from 1 species
AUUGAACGCUGGCGGCAGGCCUAACACAUGCAAGUCGAACGAGUGGCGGACGGGUGAGUAAUGUCUGGGAAACUGCCUGAUGGAGGGGGAUAACUACUGGAAACGGUAGCUAAUACCGCAUACCAUCGGAUGUGCCCAUAUGGGAUUAGCUUGUUGGUGGGGUAACGGCUCACCAAGGCGACGAUCCCUAGCUGGUCUGAGAGGAGUACCAGACAAAUGGGAAUGUAGACAAGGUCAAGACUCCUACGGGAGGCAGAAGUGGGGAAUAGUGCACAAGGGGCGCAAGCCUGAUGCAGCCAUGCCGCGUGUAUGAAGAAGGCCUUCGGGUUGUAAAGUACGUUCAGCGGGGAGGCGUUACCCGCAGAAGAAGCACCGGCUAACUCCGUGCCAGCAGCCGCGGUAAUAC